rnacentral:rRNA from 1 species
CCGUAAGUAGCGGCGAGCGAACGCGGAUUAGCCCAAACCAAUAAAGUUUUCUUUAUUGGGGUUGCGGACAUAUCAUAACGAAGAGGUAUCAUAAUUGAAGAGGUUUGGAAAGACCCACCACAGAAGGUAAUAGUCCUGUAUGUUAAACGAGAAGACUUCAGAUAUGAUCCAGAGUACCACGGGACACGUGAAACCCUGUGGGAAGCAGGAGGGACCACCCUCCAAGGCUAAAUACUACCUAGUGACCGA